GGAGACAGGCCACAUUUGGGCAGUACGCAUUCGGAGGGCUCUCUGGCUUUCCGAUCUUGGGUCGCUGUACUUGGCUCUGAAUACAGUCACCCCAUCAGAGUAGCAAAACACUGUGGUUGUAGUGUGAGAAUCCAAUGUUAAUGUUGGCCGAAAGCUCUUGAUUUUCUUCCCUGAGAACAUAGGCGUGAGGAUUUGGAUGUGUUUCCAAAUGCUUGUUACUCUUUGCCGUAAACCUGGAAUUUGGACCUAUGGCUGCCUGGGACUCAUACUGUCGUGGAGAAAGAUUGAAAAGUAGUUAAUGGCAGUGGUGGUAUGAAGGAUACAUUCGUGGAAGUGGAGUUAGUACAUCAAAGGGUGAUGCCACACUCAAUCAGAAACUAUGCUACUGCUGAAGAGGUAUAUUGAGCCCUGCCUGGUUAACCUCCAGUGAGGUUAUUAGAGAAUUGGGAGAGGCUCAAAUCAGCAUCCUGCACCUAGUUAUCAAACCAUUGUGAAGUCUUGAUUCCUGGAUGGCCAGAAAACUUGUCAUUGGUCAAGAGCAACAUUAAGAUCUGCCUGUUACUCAUACUGAUGCUUCCUGCCCAGCAAGUUCAUCAGAGGGCGAGGAUGAAUUACGGUUGCCAUGAAUGUCCUUGUGAGGCAGUUGGGAAGCCUUGGCUGGAUUGUGAAGGAUAUUUGAAAAGUAUUUUAGAGUCCACCAGAUCAUCCAUGUGAGUGACCAUGCAGCAAAAGAAGGAGGGUCCUCUCAGUGAUUAAGAUAAUCAGCAACUGCUGUGAUGAGAUGCUGCCUUUAAUGCUGCUGCAUGUGGUCAAACCUCCACUCCCAGUCUACCCAGACCAGGACUUGGCUUCCAGGAUCCAGGGGUGUCUGUGUGAAAUGAUCAGCCUGGGCCCCCAAGCAGGUCACUCCCAGCACAGAGAUGUCAUUGAUUGUACCACCGUCAUCAGGCUGUCUUCCGCCCUCAGGGAAAAGUAGCAUGUCUUCCAGCACCAUAUGACAACUGCUCAGCACUUAUUUCUUGUCAUUGCUCCCUUCUGACUGCAGCUCCGUGGGAUCACAGGAGAUUAUGGUGGUGGUGGACUCCCAGGCAUUGCUAUUCUCCUGACACCAGAACACCAUCAUGGUCAUCUCUGAGGCAUCAGUAGUGUUUCUAUAUGCCAACAGUGAACAAUCUGAAAAAGAUAUUAAAAAGUAAUCUCAUUUACAAUAGCCACACAUAAAAUUAAAUACCUAGGAAUUAACCAAAGAAGUUAAAUAUCUCUAUAAUGAAAACUAUAAAACACUGAUGAAUGAAAUUGAUGAGAUCACCAAAAAUGAAAAAAUAUUCCAUGUUCAUGGAUUGGAAGAAUCAAUAUUGUUAAAAUGUCCAUACUACCCAAAGCAAUCUACAGAUUCAGUGCAAUCCCUAUAAAAAUACCAAUGACAUUCUUCACAGAAAUAUGAUCCUAAAAUGUAUACAGAACCACAAAGACCCAGAAUAGCCAAAGCUAUCCUAAGCAAAAAGAACAAAACUGGAGGAAUCACAUUACCUGACUUUAAAUAAUACUACAGAGCUGUUGUAACCAAAACAGCAUGGUACUGGCAUAAAAGCAGACACACAGACCAAUGGAACAGUACAGACAACCCAGAAACAAAUCCACACACAAACAGUGAACCCAUUUGUGACAAAGGUGCCAAGAAUAUGCACUCGGGAAAACACAGUCUUUACUCCACAAGCACAAGCAACCAAAGCAAAAAUGGACAAAUGGGAUUACGUCAAGUUUAAAAGCUUCUACACAGCAAAAGAUACUAUCAACCAAGUGAAUAGACACCCCAAAGAAUGGGAGAAAAUAUUUGCAAACUACCCAUCUGACAAGGGAUUCAUAACCAGGAUUUAUAAGGAGCUCAAAGAACUCUACUGGAGAAAAUCUAGUAAUUCCAGUCAAAAAUGGGCAAAAUAUUUGAAUAGGCAUUUCUCAAGAGAAGACAUACGUAUUGCAAAGAGGCAUAUGAAAAUGUGCUCAACAUCAUUGAUCAUUAGAGAAAUGCAAAUCAAAACUACAAUGAGAUCAUCUCACCCAGUUAAAAUGGCUUAUAUGCAAAAGUCAAGUAAUAACAAAUGCUGGCUAGGAUGUGUACACUGUUUGGUGGGAAUGUAAAUUAGUACAACCUCUAUGGAGAACAGUUUUCAGGUUCCUAAGAAGACAAAAAAUAUUGAACUACUAUAUGAUCCAGAAAUCCCAGUGCUUGGUAUAUACCCAAAAGAAAGAAAAUCAGUAUAUCAAAGAGAUAUCUGUGUGCCUAUGUUUGUUGCAGCAGUGUUUACAAGAGCUAAGAUUUGGAAGCAACGUAAGUGUUCAUCAACAGAUGAAUGGGUAAAGAACGUGUGGUACAUAUACACAAUGGAGUACUAUUCAGCCAUAAAAAAGAAUGAGAUCCAGUCAUUUGCAACAACAUGGAUGGAACUGUAGAUCAUUACAUUAAGUGAAAUAAGCCAGGCACAGAAAAACAAACAUUUCAUGUUCUCAUUUACUUGUGGGAUCUAAAAAUCAAAACAAUUGAACUCAUGGAGAUAAAGAGUAGAGGAAUGGUUAUCAGAGGCUGGGAAGGGUAGUGGGGGCAUGUGGGGGCAGUGGGGAUGUUCUAUGGGUACAAGUAAUAAUCAGAAAGAAUGAAUAAGAACUACUAUUUGAUAGCACAACAGGGUGACUAUAGUCAAUAAUAACUUAAUUGUACAUUUUAAAACAACUUAAAGAGUGUGAUUGGAUUGUUUGUAACUCAAAGGAUAAAUGCUUGAGGGGAUGGAUAUUUCAUUCUUCAUUAUGUGCUUAUUUCACAUUGUAUGCCUGUAUCACAUCUCAUGUACCCA
ensembl:lncRNA FTX FTX transcript, XIST regulator